CCUACGGGGGGCAGCAGUGGGGAAUAUUGGGCAAUGGGCGCAAGCCUGACCCAGCAACGCCGCGUGAAGGAAGAAGGCCCUCGGGUUGUAAACUUCUUUUAUUCGGGACGAAACAAAUGACGGUACCGAAUGAAUAAGCCACGGCUAACUACGUGCCAGCAGCCGCGGUAAUACGUAGGUGGCAAGCGUUAUCCGGAUUUACUGGGUGUAAAGGGCGUGUAGGCGGGAGAGCAAGUCAGACGUGAAAUUCCAGGGCUCAACCCUGGAACUGCGUUUGAAACUGUUCUUCUUGAGUGAUGGAGAGGCAGGCGGAAUUCCGUGUGUAGCGGUGAAAUGCGUAGAUAUACGGAGGAACACCAGUGGCGAAGGCGGCCUGCUGGACAUUAACUGACGCUGAGGCGCGAAAGCGUGGGGAGCAAACAGGAUUAGAUA
rnacentral:rRNA from 1 species